rnacentral:rRNA from 1 species
AUUGAACGCUGGCGGCAUGCCUUACACAUGCAAGUCGAACGGCAGCACGGGAGCAAUCCUGGUGGCGAGUGGCGAACGGGUGAGUAAUAUAUCGGAACGUGCCCGGUCGUGGGGAUAACGUAGCGAAAGCUACGCUAAUACCGCAUACGAUCUACGGAUGAAAGCGGGGGAUCGCAAGACCUCGCGCGAUUGGAGCGGCCGAUAUCAGAUUAGGUAGUUGGUGAGGUAAAGGCUCACCAAGCCGACGAUCUGUAGCUGGUCUGAGAGGACGACCAGCCACACUGGGACUGAGACACGGCCCAGACUCCUACGGGAGGCAGCAGUGGGGAAUUUUGGGACAAUGGGCGCAAGCCUGAUCCAGCAAUGCCGCGUGCAGGAUGAAAGCCUUCGGGUUGUAAACUGCUUUGUACGGAACGAAACGGUGAGCUCUAAUACAGUUUGCUAAUGACGGUACCGUAAGAAUAAG